UCCCACUCUUUCCUCUUUAAACUCAAAACAAAAAACCUAACAGCCCAUUCUUCAGAAAUCAGCCACACAAAAUGCUCCUCCUUCUCUCUAGUCUCUCUAUCUCUGUCUCUCUUCCCCUCUCAUAAACCAUGGCUGCCACCUCCACUGGCCGGUGAAGUCCGGAGCACCAUCCGUCACCUCCCUUCCUCCUCUCCGACGAACACCAUCGCCGCCGCCGCUGCCGCCCUUUGAUUUUCCGGCGAAUAACCAACUAUGUGAAGCCACCGCCGAACCAGCAACCUCCUUCCCCAUCGCGGCUCCAUAUCCAGCUACCACUGCACUAAGCCGCUCAACCGCGCCACCAGAAGCCCUCAAAAACCUCCAGCCCACCGCUGCCUCUCCCAACCUCGCCGGCGAAGGCUCCAAUGAGCCAAUCAGCCCUCUCAUCUCCAUGUCGAUGCUCGAUUUUCGCCGAAAAUAUUGUAUUUCAUGAUGGAUUCAUCAAAUCCGUCUCAGGACUAUAAUGGCUCAACAACAACCUUCAUACCACAGAUUUCCAAACACCAAAUAUCCUGACCAUUGUGAGGAUAGGUUGCAUAAUGGAUUUUCCUUUUCGACGAAGCAUGAUGAUGACUAAUGUGGAGGAAUAGUUGUUGGGAUUCCUCAACUAAUUGAAAGCUUUUGCGUGGGAGAUGUUAAUCGAUCCUGUCCCUUAACACAAUGUAGAGUUCGUUUAGGGGUUUUAUGCUAAUCUCUUAAUCAUGGAUUGAUCGGUACCUUUCCCUACUGUUCAUUUUAAAGGAAAGAAGGUCCCAAUAGAUGUGGAAAACAUAAAUUAUACCUUGGGUGUCCCAACACUUCAAAUGACUCAUUUGAGGCAACAAUUCAGGCAUUAGACCUAGAGUGGGUGGUCGGGGUCUUUCCAUUGGAAAAAUGAGUUGUCGAGGUAAAAUGGUCCAGUACUAGGGGGACUAAGAGCACCUAUCUCUCAGUUGAGGCUAGAGUGUGGUUAUAGUACUAGGGGGACUAAGAGCACCUAUCUCUCAGUUGAGGCUAGAGUGUGGUUAUGGUUGGUGUUCUAGGGAAUUUUCCAUUUGAAAUAUUGCAUACCUGACCUUCCGCUAGGAAAUGGUGGUGCUAUAUGCUUUUGUAGGGAUUCGAGUAAAUGUCGAAGUGUUGAUUAUGGAUGAGUGGCGGUACUUUAUGUAAAGGAACUUUUCCUGCCUCUUUGGUCACCAUACUCUCGAAUAGGGUAAACUUGCUUCAAGAAGUUUAGGACACUAUGGAUGACUGUGAGGUGAUAUAUAACCCAUUGUAAGAUAGGGGAAUUCGAGGGGGGAGUAAAAACAAGAAAAAGGUGGGGGAAGAGGGUGAGGGUAGUCUGGCUGGUAGGCCUGGAGAGUCGAGUGCCCCUUUUACUCAAGCUCCCAUGCCUCUUAGUGUUCGGGAGGCUGACCUUUAUGAAAUUUAAGGCUAUCAAGAGAGUUCUCACUGCCGCCUCCUGGAUUGGCUCCUUCAAGAUCUACUGCCCUCCCUUGAAUCUAUUCACACUUACGUGGAGCUGUGAGAAGAUAUGACUUAAGAAAGAAAGGAGUGGCGUUUCCAUGAUCGCAUGCUUGUAAGAAUAUGGAAGUUGGUACAAGUGAUGUUCGGGUGCACCUCUCCCCUCAAGAAGUUGUUGUAGCUGAAUAGAAAAGAUGCCAAAGAGUUCUUCCUCAGUGGCAUGGAGGAGGAGGGCUCGAAUGCUUUGAGCCUUGGAGAUAGUACCACCGACUACAUUUUUCCUCUCUUCCCCCAUUUUUAUGUUCAAGUACCUUUGAAUUUGGGUUGCCCCCUUUUUGGGGCUUGCAACAAACAAAUUCUCCCUUUUUAUUUAUUUCUCACACUUUAAAUCGCAUUUAGUUUAUACACUUUCUAUAAUAAUUGUUCUAGUUGAUACUGCA